UACGUAGGGGGCAAGCGUUGUCCGGAAUUAUUGGGCGUAAAGAGCGUGUAGGCGGUCCGGUAAGUCAGCUGUGAAAGUCAAGGGCUCAACCCUCGAAAGCCGGUGGAUACUGUCGGGCUAGAGUACGGAAGAGGCGAGUGGAAUCUUGGUGUAGGCGGUGAAAUGCGUAGAUAUCAAGAGGAACACCUGCGGCGAAGGCGGGUGCUGGGCCGACACUGACGCUGAGGCGCGAAGCGUGGGGGAGCGAACGGG
rnacentral:rRNA from 1 species